rnacentral:lncRNA from 1 species
CAGAUCCAAGCCACAUCUGCAAACUACACCACAGUUCACAGCAACGCUGGAUCUGUAAUUCACUUAAGGAGGCCAGGGAUUGAACCCGCAACCUUAUGGUUCCUAGUUGGAUUAGUUUCUGCUGCGCCAUGACGGGGAACUCCUCUUUUGGCCAGAACUUAAUUACAUGGUCAUAUGGUUGAGAAAAAUAGUCUCUGUUCUGAAUGGCCAGAUUCCUCUUUUAAAUGGAGGUGCCUAUUUCUAAGGAAGACUAAGGAUGACUACUUCUAUUCUUUAUUUUUUUUAAUGUUCUUUUUUUUAAAAUUGAUGUAUAGUUGAUGUACAAAUAGUGAUUUGCAAUUUUACAAGGUUACUCUCAUUUAUAGUUAUGAAAUAUUGGCUAUACUCCCUGUGUUGUACAAUAUAUCUUUGUAGCUUAUUUUAUACAGUAUAGUUUUUAACUCUUAAUCCCCCAGCCCUACAAUGCUGUUCUCCUCCUCUCUCCCCACUGGUAACCACUAGUUUGUUCUUUCUUCUUUGCUAUAUUCCCUAAUUUGUUUUACUUUUCAGAUUCCACAUAUAAAUGGUAUCACUCACCAUUUGUCUUUUUCUGUAUGACUGAUUUCACUUAGCAUAAUACCUUCCAAGUCCAUCCAUAUUGCUGCAAAUGGAAAAUUUUCAUUCUUUUUUAUGUCUGAGUAGUAUUCCUUCACAUAUCUAUGUAUCUAUAUACCCGUAUCUAUCUAUCUAUAUAUCUAUAACAUCUUCCUUAUCCAUUCAUAUAUUGAUGGACACUUAAUAUAUUGAUGGAUACUUAUGUUUCUUCCAUAUCUUGGACAUAAUAAUGCUGUUAUGAACAUAGUGUACAUGUAUCUUUUUGAAUCAGUGUUUUUAUUUUUGUUUUGGAAAUAUGUCCAGAAUUAGAACUGCUAAAUCAUAUGGUUCUUCCAUUUUUAGUUUUUGGAGAAACCUCCAUAUUGUUUUACACAGUGGCUGCACUAAUUUACACUCCCUCUGACAGUGUAUGAAGUUCCCUUUUCUCCAUAACCUUGCCAACAUUUGUUAUUUGUGUUCUUUUUGAUGAUAGCCAUUCUGACAGAUGUGAGAUUAUAUCUCACUGAGGUUUUAAUUUGCAUUUCUGUGAUGAAUCAGUGUUGACCAUAUUUACAUGUGCCUUUUGGCCAUCUGCAUUUCUUCUUUGGAAAAAUGUCUAUUAAGUUCUGCUUGUUUCUUAAUCGGGUUGUUUAUUUUUUGAUAUUGAGCUGUAUGAGCUAUUUGUAUAUGUUAGAUACUUACCCCUUAUCAGUCAUAUCAUUUACAAGUAUUUUCUCCCAUUUAUUAGGUUGUCUUUUUGUUUUGUUAAUGGUUUUGUUUACUAUGAAAAAGCUUUUAAGUUUAUUAGGGACUGAUAUUUGUUAAUAAUUGCCUCUGCAUAUAUUCUAAAAUUAUUUGCAUAAAUGUGCUUUCAACUAAAUUGGUAAGGAAUUAUUGAGUGUCUACAACUAUGCAGGAAACUCUGUUAAGUGUUGUGAGAUGUAAAGAUAAAUAAACUAGUUUUGACAUUGAGGAGCAUGUAACUGUUUAAAAAUUCUAUAAAAUAUAAUGAUUUUUUCAUUAUACGUGAUCGGAAAAUCCUAAUACAAUGUUUGAUUAAUAAACGAAGCCCCAACAAAACGUUGAGAUACUACUAGGUGGGGAAAGAUCACACCUGUUAGAGAGAUUGAGCAAAAUGCUUGAGAGAAAAAUUCCACUCCCACCAAAAAUGCUUAGUGAGAAUGUAUGUGUGUGCUGAUUUUCUUUCAAGCAUUUUAUGUCUUGGGUAUCCUCAUACCAUUACAAAAGUAAAUUUAAAAUAAAAAUAAAAACUAUUCCUAGCAUUCUUACUCUUUCCAUCUCUUUGCCUUGUUCAAACCUGGCUCAUCUUCUACCCAAGAGCCCUCUCAAUAUCCUCUCACUUCCUAGGGAGCCCAGAUAUUGUACCAAGUCUUCCAGCUCCCACUUCUUUUUGUUAGCACUUCCAGCUCAAUAAUUUUUCUCUCUCAUGCAAAACCUUUCCUCUUUGAGAGACUAAUCCCCUAAGCAAUACCUCUCUCUCUCACUCACUACUCUUCCUUAUUAUUGCCAUCUACAGCAAUCUCAUGCUUCCUAAUCUCCAAGGACUUUGAUAUCUGCCUUACACUCUUUCUCCCCUUUCUUCUGUAGGUUGCAUUAGGCAACUUCAACAUUCAUGCACUUGACCCAGCUGAAAUUUUAACCUCAAAGCUUCUUGAUCUGAGAUUCCAGUUAUUUUUAUCCUUACUGGAUUUUAGUCAUUCUCAUUAUAGAAACAUCUUCAACCUUGUUGUUAUUAUGAAACAAGCUCUAAUGUUUUAUACUUUUUUUUUCUUUUUUUAGGGCUGGCACCUGUGGUAUAUGGACGUUCCCAGGCUAGGGGUUGAAUCAGAGCUACAGCUGCCAACCUACACCACAGCUAUAGCAACGCAGGAUCUCAGCCAUGUCUGCAACCUACACCACACAACUCAUGGCAAUGCCGGAUCCUUAACUCACUGAGCAAGGCCAGGGAUCGAACCUACAGUCUCAUGGUUCCUAGUUGGAUUCAUUUCUGCUGCGCCAUGAUGGGAACUCCUAAUGUUUUCUACUUUAGUGCCUAAUAUUUAUUACCUGUUUUAUAGAUUUUCAACAUUAACAAUGCCUUAAAUUUCUUCUCUCUUCUCUCUUCCUUCAUUUGUUAUUAUUAUUCACUUCCAUUUCAAACUUAGUACCUAUGGGGUAUGGGUAUCAUUUCAAUCAUAAAUAAUAAUUUCAAUCUUCCAUUCCCAAACAAUGUCAGCUGGGCACUCAGGGCGAUUAUAAGGUCAAAAGACAUACAGGAAGGCAGACAAAUAGAUUCUUCUCUUAUUGUCCACAAUGAGUAUGAAACAAACAUAUCACCAACUGACACUAAAUUUCUCUUCCCUCUCAUAGUUAAGAUAAUCUUAUUUUAACUUUAAAAUUUAUUUUAUUUUUAAAAUUUAUUUUUCUCCUUUAAAAUUUGAGAUGCUUAUGUCUGAAUUUACUUAUUUUCAAAUACUAACAAAUGUAUGUCACUUCCCUCAUUCCUACAUUCUUGUCUUCCUUCUCUCAGAAAGUUGUCUCCCUACUUCAUUUUAAGCCCAGGUCCUCCCUGCCUCCAUCCUCUUUAUGCCAUUCUUUCCACCUCUUCAAGGUCCUUGAGCUGUUAUUCGUCUCUUUAUUCUCCUGUAUCUUCAUGUUUUAAGAUGUACCUCCCUCAUGCUUACAUUCCCUUCCAAUGUCUGCUCUCUCAGUUCCCUUCUACUCACAACCAAGAUACUCAAUACAGCAUAGCUUACAUUCACUGCUUCAGCUUUGUUCAGUCCUCUGGAACUAAGCUGCAAUCCCACUCCUCUUUACUUUAUUUUCCUAUUAUUUUAUUUUAUUUUAAUUACUCAAUGAAUUUUAUUAUAUUUAUAGAUGUACAACAAUCAUCACAACCAAAUUUGAUAGCAUUUCCAUACCAAACUCUCAGUGUAUCCGCCCAACCCCCAACCUGUCUCAUUUGGAAACCAUGUUUUUCAAAGUCUGAGUCAGUAUCCGUUCUGCAAAGAAUUUCAUUGUGUCAUUUUUUUAGAUUCCACAUGUAAGUGAUAGCAUUUGGUGUUGGGGUGUCUCAUUGUCUGACUGACUUCACUUAGCAUGAUAAUUUCUAGGUCCAUCCAUGUUGCUGCAAAUGCUGUUAUUUCUUUCCUUUUAAUGGCUUUUAAUCGCACUGUAUAUAUGUACCACAUCUUCUUGAUCUACUCCUCUGUUGAUGGACAUUUAGGUUGUUUCUAUGUCUUGACUAUUGAAAACAGUGCUGCAAUGAACAUUGGAGUACAUGUAUAUUUUUGAGUCAUGGUUUCCUCUGGAUAGGUGGCCGGGAGUGGGACUGCUGGAUCAAAUGGUAAUUUUAUUUUUAGUUUUCUGCGGAAUCUCCCUACUGUUUUCCAAAGUGGUUGCACCAAUUUAUAUGCCCACCAACAGUGUAAUAGGGUUCCUUUUUCUCCACACCCUCUCCAGCACUUAUUGUUUACAGACUUUUUGAUGAUGUCCAUUCUGGCCAGUGUAAAGUGGUACCUCAUAGUGGUUUUGAUUUGCAUUUCUCUAAUAAUGAGUGAUGUUGAACAUCUUUUCAUGUGUAUUUUGGUCAUCUGUAUGUCUUCUUUGGAGAAUUGUCUGUUUAGAUCUUCCGCAGGGUUGUUUUUUUUUGUUUUGUUUUGUUUUUUUGUAUUGAGCUGCAGAAGCUGUUUAUAAAUUUUGGAGAUUAAUCCCUUGUCGGUCGAUUCAUUUGCAAAUAUUUUCUCCCAUUCCGUGGGUUGUCUUUUCAUUUUAUUUAGGGUUUCCUUUGCCAUGCAGAAACUUUUAAGUUCAAUUAAGUCCCAUUUGUUUAUUUUUGUUUUUAUUGUCAAUAAUCUAAUAGGUGGAUCUGAGAAGGUGUUGCUGUCGUUUAGGUCAGAGUGUUUGGCCUAUGUUUUCCUCUAGGAGUUUUAUAGUAUCUGGUAUUAUAUAUAUGUCUUUAAUGCAUUUUGUGUUUAUUUUCAUAUAUGGUGCUAGGAAAUGUUCUAAUUUCAUUCUUUUACAUGUGGCUGUCCAGUUUUCUUUGCACUACUUAUUGAAGGGUCUAUCUUUUCUCCAUUGUAUAUUCUUGCCUCCUUUGUCAUAGAUUAGUUUACUGUAGGUGCCACUUUCCUUUACUUUUCUAUGGUCAUUGUCCUUAUUUUCCAAGCUAAUUUCAGUGGACACAGUUUUGUUCUCAUUAGCCUUCUCUGCAGCGUUGUGUGUAAUUCACUACGCUUGGCUGUAAGAAACUUCCUUCACUGUAUUUUCCUUACACACCUAUUUUAAGGAUUCCUUUCAGCUCUCUGACAGUUCCUUCUUAGUCUCUGAAGAAAGCACCUUAGAUGGGUUCACUUUCCAUAUUUUGGGUGUUUUUUGCUCCCUUAUUUUCAAUCUACAAAAUCUCCCUUGGUAUCUCAUUACUCCUGUCUCUUCAGUUGUUAUCAGUAUGCUCAUAGGUCUCAAAUUUCUAUUUCCAGACUUGAUGACAGGAAAGAAAAUAAAGGAGAAUAUCAUGUUGGUUCUUUUUAGCCAAGUAGUUUAUAAACUUCCAUUGCAGGAACUAUACACAGUGUUUGAUACAAUGUUUUGCAUGCUGAGGCCAAUCAGACAAUAAUUAAACUGGGAGAAAACUAUAUUUUAAAUCUUUUGUGCUCGGGCAGGGGUGUAGAGAAGCACCGAUAAUAUGUUCAGGAAAGUACUAUUUUUAAAAUCGAGACAGCACAUUUAGAAUCCAUUUCUCUUCUAGAACUAUAAAAUAAUUAUGAAAGUAUAGUCUUCAGUGACCUCUAAACCAUGAUAUACUUUUAUUUUAAGCAUAAAAGUCCAAUGGAAACACUACAAAUGAAUGAACUCAUGUUAAAAUAUUUUGUUUUGGACUGUGCCUUACUACUGCAAGAUAUUAACUGAAAUCUGUACUUAUGUUUCAUCACCUCAUAAUGGAACUUAUUCCAUUUACUAGCAUAAUCUGCUUGAACUCCAUUCUGCCUAAUGAUCUAUUUCUCAGUAAGUAAUAACAUACCUAUGAUUCCUCAACAUUUAUAGUACUAGGCUAUGCUGAAUAUGGGCUUUCUUUAAUGACAUUAUUGAUCUUCUCUCCCCAUCUAUCCCCUUUUCUUCACCCUGUCUUUCACCUUAUUCCUAUCAUUCAUCCGUCACACACACACACACACACACACACACACACACACACGAUACAGAAUCACAUACACAUAACUACAAAUACUUAGCAUCCAGACAGACAGAAUUUCCUAAGUUUACAAUUCUUGGUUUGUUAGUUUGCUAAAAAAACUUUACCUUAAAAAACUUUUUGAAACAUAUGGAGCAUUUUUCAUGUAUGGAACAAAAUAACCUGUAGUGGGCAUUAUUAUCAUUUUCCCACCCUCCUUCUGAGAAAUGUUCCUGCUGACAAUAUGAUUCAAAAGUGUGUGGUCCCAUUUUCAGACCCUUCAGCUAUGGCCAUGGUUGGUUGAUCCAGGUAUGGAUGCCUGUCCGAAGUUAGACUAAUCAGAUCCUUUCCUAGGUAGUUUUAAACUUGGGAACACUUAAGAUGAGUUUAGUCUUUGUCCAUAUAUGAGUAUAUGAAUAUAUGAAUCUGGAUUUGUUGGCAGCUGUUCCAACUGUGUGAGAAAAAUUGCAACCCACAAAGGGAAGCAGAAAUUAAAGGCUGCAGAGACAAUCCUCCUGGAUUCUAGUCCCUGGUUCUGAUUGACCUUGAGGUUAGUUUUAGCCAGCAAUUCCUGCAGUUUGGUUGCAAGAAGCAAUAUAUUUUCCUAUUUCUCUGAUUUAGUUUGAGUUGAUUUUCUGUCAGUUGCAACCAGAGCCCUGACUAUAAGUAUAUUCCAUAAACCUAAAGUUGGAUUUGUUCAUUUGUUUUUAUGUACUUUUUAUGUUUCUCAUAAAGGGAAAUAAGUAUUCUAUUUAAUCAGCUAAGAGUAUUAAAGUUGGGGCAUACAAAUUGAUUAUUUUUAUUCUGUUUCAGAGGAAGGAGGGAAUUGUUCUCCUAGGAAAC